rnacentral:lncRNA from 1 species
UAAAAUUGACUACAAAUGACUAUAUUAUACUAAGCUACAAGUCCUAUAUAUAGUCAUGCAUAGUUACAUGUAGUCAUGACUAUACAUGACUACAUGUGACUGACUAUAUAUGACUGUAUAUGACUAAAAAUAUAACUGUAUAUUCACCCGACUCAAAUCACCCAUGUAAGUAACCAUUACUGGUUAAAUUUCUAUUACAGACAAACAAAGCUCUCACACAUUAGGCAUUUCAAAUCAUCUUCAAAUAAAUACAAAAAAAAAUACAUAUGAUUUAUAAUAAAAAAAUCAAAUUACAUGAAAAAUACAAAAAAACAUGAUUGUUUUUGUAGAUAAAUUUACUGAACUAAAAUCGACUACAAAUGACUAUAUUAUACUACAAGUCCUAUAUAUAGUCAUGUAUAGUUACAUGUAGUCAUGACUAUACAUGACUACAUGUGACUGACUAUAUAUGACUGUAUAUGACUAAAUAUAACUGUAUAUUCACCUGACUCAAAUCACCCAUGUAAGUAACCAUUACUGGUUAAAUUUUCAUUACAGGCAAACAAAGCUCUCGCACUUUAGGCAUUUUGAAUCAUCUUCAAAUAAAUACAAAAAAUAAAUUACAUAUGAUUUAUAAUAAAAAAUCAAAUUAAUCCAAAGAAAAAUAUUUUAAUAUUAAUUGUUCACAGAUCUUAAAAAAUAUACUAGAUCUGUUUUUUUUUUAAAUAAAUGCAGUAAAUAUAUACAAAUUGAACACCACCAAUUCCAGAUCUGAAAUUCACCAUUAGAUCUGACACAAUUUAAAAUUUUCGAAUUCAUUAGGUUUCAUAAAAAAAACAAUAAAAUAAGGUGAAAUAGUGAUAAGAAUUCAGAUCUUCAAAAAAUAAAUUAAAAAUAGAUUGGCAUUCAUAAAUUAAAAAAAUAACUUAAAAAAGUGAAGUGAAUGGUUUAGUACCGAGUUCAAGGCGGUGGGAGGAGCAACGACGGCCGGCACAAGGCCGUGGCGGAGCAGCGGUACAAGAGGGUGCGCGGAGCAGUGGAACAGCCGGUGUGGAGCAGCGGAACACGGCGGAGCAGCGGAGCACGGCGGAGCAACAGAGCACCACGGAUCGAUGACGUCAUCUGGUAGAUCGCUGAUUAUGUCUUCUUCUUUGUUGUUUGUUGUUAUCGGAGCGUUGGUUGAAAGCUUUUUCUUCUUGGCGGAUCUAGUUUCUUUUUUGUGUGUGUUUGUGUGUGUGUUCUUCUGCUUUUUCCUCUUGGCAGAUCUGGUUUCUUUUUUGUGUGUGUUUGUGUGUGUUUUUCUUCUUCUAUAUGUUCUUGGGAGUGAUGAGAGAGAGAUGUAGAGAGAGAAAAAGAUUGAUGUGAGAUUUGGCAGUGUGGAGUUGUGCUG